rnacentral:rRNA from 1 species
GACGAACGCUGGCGGCGUGCUUAAUACAUGCAAGUCGAGCGUGAAAGUGGGGCAACCCAUGAGUAAAGCGGCGCACGGGUGAGGAACACGUAGAUUAUCUGCCCUUGAGAUCGAGAUAACCCCGGGAAACUGGGGCUAAUACCGGAUAAUGCACUAUGAUUGGUUUUGUAGUGUUAAAGUGGCGCAAGUCACACUUGAGGAUGAGUCUGCGACCUAUCAGCUAGUUGGCGGUGUAAUGGACCACCAAGGCAAAGACGGGUAGCUGAUCUGAGAGGAUGAUCAGCCACACUGGGACUGAGACACGGCCCAGACUCCUACGGGUGGCUG